UAACGAGUGUGUAGGCACCUUCUAAGUGCUC
rnacentral:piRNA from 1 species